rnacentral:sRNA from 1 species
GCUUUCCGGAAUCCACGAGGAUGAGAACCUCCGGGGGCAAGAGGUUCGACUCGAGCGGAGCGAGAGAACGUUGCGCCAGCAACGGCCCGCAGUGGCGAGUAAUCCUCUAUCACCGACCA